GAACUGAAACAUCUAAGUAGCUGCAGGAACAGAAAUCAACCGAGAUUCCCAAAGUAGUGGCGAACGAAAUGGGAAGAGCCUUGUACUCUUUAGCAGCAUUGUUAGCAGAACGGGAUGGAAAGCCCGGCCAUAGCAGGUGAUAGCCCUGUAUGCGAAAACAGCGUUGUGGAACUAGGUGUACGACAAGUAGGGCGGGACACGUGAAAUCCUGUCUGAAGAUGGGGGGACCAUCCUCCAAGGCUAAAUACUCGUAAUCGACCGAUAGUGAACCAGUACCGUGAGGGAAAGGCGAAAAGAACCCCGGGAGGGGAGUGAAAUAGAUCCUGAAACCGCAUGCAUACAAACAGUCGGAGCCUGGAAACGGGUGACGGCGUACCUUUUGUAUAAUGGGUCAGCGACUUACAUUCAGUGGCAAGCUUAACCGAUUAGGGAAGGCGUAGCGAAAGCGAGUCCGAAUAGGGCGUUGAGUCGCUGGGUGUAGACCCGAAACCAGAUGAUCUAUCCAUGGCCAGGUUGAAGGUGCGGUAACACGUACUGGAGGACCGAACCCACUAACGUUGAAAAGUUAGGGGAUGAGCUGUGGAUAGGGGUGAAAGGCUAAACAAAUCUGGAAAUAGCUGGUUCUCUCCGAAAACUAUUUAGGUAGUGCCUCGUGUCUCACCUUCGGGGGUAGAGCACUGUCAUGGUUGGGGGGUCUAUUGCUGAUUCCCCCGCCAUAGCAAACUCCGAAUACCGAAGAGUGCAAUCACGGGAGACAGACAUCGGGUGCUAACGUCCGGUGUCAAGAGGGAAACAACCCAGACCGCCAGCUAAGGUCCCAAAGAUUGGCUAAGUGGGAAACGAAGUGGGAAGGCUAAAACAGUCAGGAGGUUGGCUUAGAAGCAGCCACCCUUUAAAGAAAGCGUAAUAGCUCACUGAUCGAGUCGUCCUGCGCGGAAGAUGUAACGGGGCUAAGCCAGUCACCGAAGCUGCGGACGCACGCAAGUGCGUGGUAGGAGAGCGUUCUGUAAGCCUGUGAAGGUGUCUUGUAAAGGAUGCUGGAGGUAUCAGAAGUGCGAAUGCUGACAUGAGUAGCGAUAAAGGGGGUGAAAGGCCCCCUCGCCGUAAGCCCAAGGUUUCCUACGCAACGUUCAUCGGCGUAGGGUGAGUCGGCCCCUAAGGCGAGGCAGAGAUGCGUAGCUGAUGGGAAGCAGGUUAAUAUUCCUGCACCGUCGUAUGAUGCGAUGGGGGGACGGAUCGCGGAAGGUUGUCCGGGUGUUGGAAGUCCCGGUCCCUGCAUUGGAGAAGGCGCUUAGGCAAAUCCGGGCGCGGAAUUCAAGGAUGUGGGGCGAGCGGCCUAGUGCUGCGAAGCAAUUGGAAGUGGUUCCAAGAAAAGCCUCUAAGCUUCAGUCAUACGAGACCGUACCGCAAACCGACACAGGUGGGCGAGAUGAGUAUUCUAAGGCGCUUGAGAGAACUCGGGAGAAGGAACUCGGCAAAUUGGUACCGUAACUUCGGGAUAAGGUACGCCCUUGUAGCUUGACUGGCCUGCGCCAGGAGGGUGAAGGGGUUGCAAUAAAAUGGUGGCUGCGACUGUUUAAUAAAAACACAGCACUCUGCAAACACGAAAGUGGACGUAUAGGGUGUGACGCCUGCCCGGUGCCGGAAGAUUAAAUGAUGGGGUGCAAGCUCUUGAUUGAAGUCCCGGUAAACGGCGGCCGUAACUAUAACGGUCCUAAGGUAGCGAAAUUCCUUGUCGGGUAAGUUCCGACCUGCACGAAUGGCGUAACGAUGGCCACACUGUCUCCUCCCGAGACUCAGCGAAGUUGAAGUGUUUGUGAUGAUGCAAUCUCCCCGCGGCUAGACGGAAAGACCCCAUGAACCUUUACUGUAGCUUUGCAUUGGACUUUGAACCGAUCUGUGUAGGAUAGGUGGGAGGCUUUGAAGCGUGGACGCUAGUUCACGUGGAGCCGUCCUUGAAAUACCACCCUGGUUUGUUUGAGGUUCUAACCUUGGCCCGUGAAUCCGGGUCGGGGACAGUGCAUGGUAGGCAGUUUGACUGGGGCGGUCUCCUCCCAAAGUGUAACGGAGGAGUUCGAAGGUACGCUUGGUACGGUCGGACAUCGUACCUAAAGUGCAAUGGCAAAAGCGUGCUUAACUGCGAGACCGACAAGUCGAGCAGGUGCGAAAGCAGGACAUAGUGAUCCGGUGGUUCUG
rnacentral:rRNA from 1 species